rnacentral:rRNA from 1 species
ACGGCUCAGUAACACGUAGUUAAUACGCCCUUAGGCCUCGUUCAAUCCCGGGAAACUGGGGCCGAGAACGGGAUAGGCAAUAACUGCUGGAAUGCUUUAUUGCUCAACUAAGGAUUAGACUGCGGCUGAUUAGGUUGUUGGUAAGCUAAAGCCUUAUCAAGCCGAUAAUCAGUACGAGCCUUGAGAGAGGAAGCUCGGAGAUGGAUUCUGAGACAACAAUCCAGGUCCUACGGGACGCAGCAGGCGCGAAAAUUUCACAAUGCACGCAAGUGUGAUGGAGGAAUUCGGAGUACUCUUCCUUACUGGAGGAGUUUUUGUUCACCUUAAAUAAGUGAAAGAAUAAGUGGUGGGUAAUACGGGUGCCAGCCGCCGCGGUAAUACCCGAACCACAAGUGGUGACCGCUUUUAUUGGGUUUAAAACAUUCGUAGCCGGUUUGGUAAGCUCUCGGUGAAAUAUCACAGUUAACUGUGGUGCUUGCCGAGGAGACUGCCAGGCUAGAGACCGGGAGAAGUCAAGGGUACUGUCGGGGUAGGGGUAAAAACUUUUGGGUGCAGACUUUUGAACAAAUUGCACCGAAAAGGUUGCAAUCCUGUAAUCCUGACAGGACCGCCUGUGGCGUAGGCUGUUGCAAGAAGCAUAUAGUAUAUUGUAGCGGCCUCCGUACAAGGCGCUUGACCAGAACGGAUCUGACGGUGAGGGAUGAAAGCCAGGGGAGCAAAGCGGAUUAGAUACCCGCGUAGUCCUGGCUGUAAACGAUACCCACUAGUUACUGGGGGUCUCAAGGGGUCCCCCAAUGACGUAGGGGAAACCGUUAAGUGGGUACCUGGGGAAGUACGUUCGCAAGGAUGAAA